UGGGCUUGAAAGUUAGUGACCGCUCCUGAAAGGGAGCCUUCCGCAAGGACACGAAACUAGGUGCUGCAUGGCUGUCGUCAGCUCGUGCCGUGAGGUGUUGGGUUAAGUCCCGUAACGAGCGCAACCCCUAUCAUUAGUUGCCAUCAGGUAAAGCUGGGGACUCUAAUGAGACUGCCCGCGCAAGCGGUGAGGAAGGUGGGGAUGACGUCAAGUCAUCACGGCCCUUACGUCCAGGGCUACACACGUGCUACAAUGGUAGAUACAGCAGGUUGCCACAUGGUAACAUGGAGCUAAUCCCAAAAGUCUAUCUCAGUUCGGAUUGAGGUCUGCAACUCGACCUCAUGAAGCUGGAUUCGCUAGUAAUCGGAAAUCAGCAAUGUUCCGGUGAAUACGUUCCCGGGCC
rnacentral:rRNA from 1 species